rnacentral:rRNA from 1 species
UAGGGAAUCUUCGGCAAUGGACGAAAGUCUGACCGAGCAACGCCGCGUGAGUGAAGAAGGUUUUCGGAUCGUAAAACUCUGUUGUUAGAGAAGAACAAGGACGUUAGUAACUGAACGUCCCCUGACGGUAUCUAACCAGAAAGCCACGGCUAACUACGUGCCAGCAGCCGCGGUAAUACGUAGGUGGCAAGCGUUGUCCGGAUUUAUUGGGCGUAAAGCGAGCGCAGGCGGUUUCUUAAGUCUGAUGUGAAAGCCCCCGGCUCAACCGGGGAGGGUCAUUGGAAACUGGGAGACUUGAGUGCAGAAGAGGAGAGUGGAAGUCCAUGUGUAGCGGUGAAAUGCGUAGAUAUAUGGAGGAACACCAGUGGCGAAGGCGGCUCGCUGGUCUGUAACUGACGCUGAGGCUCGAAAGCGUGGGGAGCAAACAGG